rnacentral:rRNA from 1 species
GACGAACCGUGCAAACGUUGUUCGGAAUCACUGGGCUUAAAGGGCGCGUAGGCGGGCAAGCAAGUCCGGGGUGAAAUCUUUCGGCUCAACCGGAAAAGUGCCUUGGAUACUGCUUGUCUGGAGGGAGGUAGGGGCAUGUGGAACUUCUGGUGGAGCGGUGAAAUGCGUUGAUAUCAGAAGGAACGCCGGUGGCGAAGGCAGCUUACUACGGGAAUAUUGACACUGAGGCACGAAAGCGUGGGGAUCAAACAGG